GUGUAGCUCAGUGGUAGAGCGCUUGCCUUGUAUGCUUGAGGCUCUGGGUCCAAUUCCCAACAC
rnacentral:tRNA from 1 species